UACGAAGGGGGCUAGCGUUGUUCGGAAUCACUGGGCGUAAAGCGUACGUAGGCGGAUUGUUAAGUCAGGGGUGAAAUCCCGAGGCUCAACCUCGGAACUGCCUUUGAUACUGGCAAUCUUGAGUCCGGGAGAGGUGAGUGGAACUCCUAGUGUAGAGGUGAAAUUCGUAGAUAUUAGGAAGAACACCAGUGGCGAAGGGCGGCUCACUGGCCCGGAACUGACGCUGAUGUACGAAAGCGUGGGGAAGCAACAGGG
rnacentral:rRNA from 1 species